rnacentral:rRNA from 1 species
AGGUAGAUCGGUCCGGGGUGUAAGCACAGCAAUGUGUUCAGCUGACGGAUACGAAUCGGUCGAGGGCUUUCCCUA